rnacentral:rRNA from 1 species
AUGGACGGCGGCGGCGUGGUGAUGGUGGGGCGGGCGGAGAUCGACACGCGGGCGCCGUUCAAGUCGGUGAAGGAGGCCGUCGCGCUCUUCGGCGAGAGGGUGCUCGCCGGGGAGCUCCUAUUUCACGCCCCCCGCGACGCCAACACCGCCGAUCAGCUGCAUCGAGUGACGGCAGCGCCAAGACCCGUUGUUCACCACCAAGCCGUCACCAUCGCCCCGGCCGUCGCCAUGGUAGCGGCGCCACCGCCGCCGCGUCGCAUGCCGGCUGCGCCGGCGACGAGGGAGCUGGACGACGCGAAGCACGAGCUGGAGAAGGAGCGUGAGGAGAAGCACAAGAUGGCGGGCUGCAUCCAGUCGCUCCAGGAGGAGCUGACCAGCGCCAUGAGGGAGCUGCAGAAGCUCAAGGCGCGCGACGAGGACGCCCGCGCCAAGGUCAUCGAGGUGGAGGACCUCAAGUUCAUGGAGACCGACGAGCCGCAGCAGCAGCGCCAUCACCAGCAUCAGAGCCCACUGGCCAGCGGCCAGGAAGCCAUGGCCGCGAGCCGCGCCACGGCGGCCGCGGAGUUCCAGAAGAAGCGGUACGUCACCUUCGCCGACCCGCCGGCGGCCGCGUACGACCGCGCGCCCUCGCCGCCGCGGGACGUGGUGCUGGAGCUGCAUCGCCAUCACCAGCAGCCGCAUUACGCGCCGGCGGCGGGGCGGCCGCAGUACCGCGAGGCGCGGUUCCAGAGGCAGGUGUCGGCCGGGCCAGGGCACGAGGCGGUGAAGAAGGCGAUGGCGGCCGCGGCUGAGGAGGAGGAGGGGAGGAAGAAGAAGAAGAAGCCGCUGAUCCCGCUGGUGGGCGCGCUCUUCAUGAGGAAGAAGAAGAGCUCGGCGUCCGCCACCGGCAGCAACCACGCCGUCGACGGCUCGUCGGCGGUCAAGCCGCGCCCGUCGUUCUGA